rnacentral:rRNA from 1 species
GUUAUAUGGUCAAGUGAAGAAGCGCAUACGGUGGAUGCCUUGGCAGUCAGAGGCGAUGAAAGACGUGGUAGCCUGCGAAAAGCUUCGGGGAGUCGGCAAACAGACUUUGAUCCGGAGAUGUCUGAAUGGGGGAACCCAGCCAUCAUAAGAUGGUUAUCUUGUACUGAAUACAUAGGUGCAAGA